rnacentral:rRNA from 1 species
ACUCCUACGGGGAGGCAGCAGUAGGGAAUCUUCCACAAUGGGCGCAAGCCUGAUGGAGCAACACCGCGUGAGUGAAGAAGGGUUUCGGCUCGUAAAGCUCUGUUGUUAAAGAAGAACACGUAUGAGAGUAACUGUUCAUACGUUGACGGUAUUUAACCAGAAAGUCACGGCUAACUACGUGCCAGCAGCGCGGUAAUACGUAGGUGGCAAGCGUUAUCCGGAUUUAUUGGGCGUAAAGAGAGUGCAGGCGGUUUUCUAAGUCUGAUGUGAAAGCCUUCGGCUUAACCGGAGAAGUGCAUCGGAAACUGGAUAACUUGAGUGCAGAAGAGGGUAGUGGAACUCCAUGUGUAGCGGUGGAAUGCGUAGAUAUAUGGAAGAACACCGGUGGCGAAGGCGGCUACCUGGUCUGCAACUGACGCUGAGACUCGAAAGCAUGGGUAGCGAACAGGAUUAGAUACCCUGGUAGGAUAGCG